rnacentral:misc_RNA from 1 species
GAUGAAGAAACGUAGCAAAAUGCGAUAAGUAGUGUGAAUUGCAGAAUUCAGUGAAUCAUCGAAUCUUUGAACGCACAUUGCGCCCGCUGGUAUUCCGGCGGGCAUGCCUGUUCGAGCGUCAUUUCAACCCUCAAGCCCCCGGGUUUGGUGUUGGGGAUCGGCUCUGCCCUUCUGGGCGGUGCCGCCCCCGAAAUACAUUGGCGGUCUCGCUGCAGCCUCCAUUGCGUAGUAGCUAACACCUCGCAACUGGAACGCGGCGCGGCCAUGCCGUAAAACCCCAACUUCUGAAUGUUGACCUCGGAUCAGGUAGGAAUACCCGCUGAACUUAAGCAUAUCAAUAAGCGGAGGA